CAAUAGCGUAUAUUAAAGUUGUUGCAGUUAAAAAGCUCGUAGUUGAAUUUUUGCUUGCCGCCGAUGUCGGAACUUCCGUACGUUCGGCGGCGUGCAUCCUUGGGUGGAACCUGUGUGGCAUUAGGUUGUCGUGCAGGGGAUGCUCAUCGUUUACUGUGAAAAAAUUAGAGUGUUCAAAGCAGGCUUACGCCGUUGAAUAUAUUAGCAUGGAAUAAUAAGAUAGGACCUUGGUACUAUUUUGUUGGUUUGCGCACCGAGGUAAUGAUUAACAGGGACAGUUGGGGGUAUUUGUAUUCCAUUGUCAGAGGUGAAAUUCUUGGAUUUCUGGAAGACGAACUACUGCGAAAGCAUUUACCAAGGAUGUUUUCAUUA
rnacentral:rRNA from 1 species